ensembl:lncRNA
GUUUCCUCCUUUCCUGCAGAGCGGUCAGCAUGUGGCUGGGUACACAGGCCCAUCGGUGAAUCUUGGUUGGUGGGCUGUUUGGGGUCCCAAGGGCAGGAAGGAUGAGGACUGAAUGCUGGAAAGCGGCUCCAGGAAUAGGGGGAAGGGCUUCUGAUUGCCCUGCCUUGGGGUCUGUGUGACUUCUGCCUGCCUUGUGAGGUCACAGUAUUGCCCAGGUGACCCAGCUGGGUGGGAAAACCCACUGCUUUUCCAGGUCUGAGCAGAGAGAGGGCCACUCCUGUCUUUACCUUCUGUGGGUGCCAAGAACCAGUUGCCCAGCUGCUGAUCCUGCCCAGCUGGCCAUGACCCAGAGUCCCCAUGGCACCUCUGCUUAUAGAAUGUCUCCCUGUUGAGAAAGCACCAGACCGUGGCCCUCUCCCUUCCCCUGCCCAGGUCCCAGAGCCCGUGUCUGGCACCCCUGAGACCACCUUGACGUUCCAUAAUGUUAGCCAACCGCAAGACUCCAAGGUGCCCAGGCCAGCUGUCUGGGCAGGACUGAUCACCCAACGAUACCAGAGUUCUUUGUUUCGUUUGCUCCUGAAUCACAACAGAAGCUUCCUUUCUCUGGACGUUGGUUUUCAUAACUGUGAAAUGGGGAUGGAAGUGACUUUGGUGGCUUUUCCAAGUGAGGUUCCUAGACCCCCUCGAACACGCGGGAUCCGAAACAAGGUGCACUUACAGGUGUUCUCAACGCAAUCUGGUGAUUUUUGCCAGAGAGAAUCACAGCUUGAAAUGAGUAUGUCACCUCCCCUACACACACACACACACACACACACACACACACACACACACACACACACACACAGAGUCUAGAAAGGAGUCUCUGCUUUCUUGUUGCUGGGGGUCACAGAGGCUCAGAGAGCCUGCUGCGAUGGUUCAUCAUCAUCCUCCAAGAUCUUCCGGGAGAUUUCCAGGCUGCUGCCCCGGCAGUGCACAUGCCCCUCUGCUCCACAGCCUCCCAGCCCUGACCCAGCCCUCUCCCUCGGCCCCAAAUGCUCCAGUGCCUGGAGAGAGGGGAUUUUUGUCUGUUUCAGUCACGGCGCAUAGUGACUGACAGAGGAGCUCGACCUUUACUGUGCUCACUGGCAAGCCCACGCCCUUCACUGUGUCACUUAGCAAAGGCAUACAGGUACUUGCUAACUCGGGAG